GUGUCAGCAGCCGCGGUAAUACGUAGGGUGCAAGCGUUAAUCGGAAUUACUGGGCGUAAAGCGUGCGCAGGCGGUUUUGUAAGUCUGUCGUGAAAUCCCCGGGCUCAACCUGGGAAUUGCGAUGGAGACUGCAAGGCUAGAAUCUGGCAGAGGGGGGUAGAAUUCCACGUGUAGCAGUGAAAUGCGUAGAGAUGUGGAGGAACACCGAUGGCGAAGGCAGCCCCCUGGGUCAAGAUUGACGCUCAUGCACGAAAGCGUGGGGAGCAAACAGGAUUAGAAACCCCCGUAGUCC
rnacentral:rRNA from 1 species